rnacentral:rRNA from 1 species
GACGAACGCUGGCGGCGUGCUUAACACAUGCCAGUCGAACGGUGAAGCUCCAGCUUGCUGGAGUGGAUCAGUGGCGAACGGGUGAGUAACACGUGAGCAACCUGCCCCUGACUCUGGAAUAAGCGCUGGAAACGGCGUCUAAUACUGGAUACGAGAAGGGUCCGCAUGGGCACUUUCUGGAAAGUUUUUCGGUUGGGGAUGGGCUCGCGGCCUAUCAGCUUGUUGGUGAGGUAAUGGCUCACCAAGGCGACGACGGGUAGCCGGCCUGAGAGGGCGACCGGCCACACUGGGACUGAGACACGGCCCAGACUCCUACGGGAGGCAGCAGUGGGGAAUAUUGCACAAUGGGCGAAAGCCUGAUGCAGCGACGCCGCGUGAGUGAUGACGGCCUUCGGGUUGUAAACCUCUUUCAGCAGGGAAGAAGCGAAAGUGACGGUACCUGCAGAAGAAGCACCGGCUAACUACGUG